AUCUACGGCCAUACCACGGGAAACGCACAGGAUCCCGUCCGAUCUCCUAAGUAUUUAAGCCCCGUAGGGUCUAGUCAGUAUUGCGGUGGGGGACCACGCGAGAAUCCUAGAUGCCGUAGGUU
rnacentral:rRNA from 1 species